GUGAAGAGAUGAAGACUGAGCAGUUGUGUCCGCGUUGCCGACCUCAAGCAGCAGUCGGCUUCUCCACGUAGAACCCAGGAGUAGGAGACUCAGAAUCGAAUCUCUUCUCCCUCCUCCCUCCUGUUUUCGGCUUUGUGAGAGACCUUAUCAUCAAACACAAUGGCGAGCAACGUUACCAACAAGACAGAUCCUCACUCCAUGAACUCCCGUGUGUUCACAGGGAAUCUCAACACUCUCGUGGUCAAGAAAUCUGAUGUAGAGGCAAUCUUUUCAAAGUAUGGCAAAAUUGUGGGCUGCUCUGUUCAUAAGGGCCUUGCCUUCAUUCAAUAUGUUAAUGAGAGAAAUGCCCAGGCUGCUGCAGCAGGAGAGGAUGGCAGAAUGAUUGCUGGCCAGGUUUUAGAUACUAACCUGGCUGCAGAGCCAAAAGUGAACCAAGGAAAAGCAGGUGUGAAACGAUCUGCAGCGGAGAUGUACGGCUCCUCUUUUGACUUGGACUAUGACUUUCAAUGGGAUUAUUAUGAUAGGAUGUACAGCUACCCAGCACGUGUACCUCCUCCUGCUCCUAUUGCUCGAGCUGUAGUGCCCUCGAAACGUCAGUGUGUAUCAGGAAACACCUCACCAAGAGGCAAAAGUGGCUUCAAUUCUAAGAGUGGACAGCGGGGAUCUUCCAAGUCUGGAAAGUUGAAAGGAGAUGACCUUCAGGCCAUUAAGAAGGAACUGACCCAGAUAAAACAAAAAGUGGAUUCUCUCCUGGAAAACCUGGAAAAAAUUGAAAAGGAACAGAGCAAACAAGCAGUAGAGAUGAAGAAUAAUAAGUCAGAAGAGGAGCAGAGCAGCAGCUCCAUGAAGAAAGAUGAGACUAAUGUGAAGAUGGAGUCUCGGGGCUGCAGAUGACUCUGCUGAGGAGGGUGACCUACUGGAUGAUGAAAAAGAGGCUGAAGAAGGAGACGAUGACUCUUAAGCACAUAGUGGGGUUUAGAAAUCUUAUCCCAUUAUUUCUUUACCUAGGCGCUUGUCUAAAAUCAAAUUUUUCACCAGAUCCUCUACCCUAGUAUCUUCAGCACAUGCUCACUGCUCUCCCCAUCCUUGUCCUUCCCAUGUUCAUUAAUUCACAUUUCCCUGCACGUAGUCCCAUUUUCACUUCCUUUGAUGCUCCUAGUAGUUAAGUCUUACCCUGUAAUUUUUGCUUUUAAUUUUGAUACCUCAUUAUGACUUAACAAUAAAAAGGAUGUAUGGUUUUUAUCAACUGUCUCCAAAAUAAUCUCUUGUUAUGAAGGGAGUACAGUUCUUUUCAUUCAUACAUAUGUUCAGUAGUUGCUUCCCUAACUGCAAAGGCAAUCUCAUUUAGUUGAGUAGCUCCUGAAAGCAGCUUUGAGUUAGAAGUAUGUGUGUUACACCCCAACAUUAGUGUGCUGUGUGGGGCAGUUCAACAGAAAUGUAAUGAUGUAUUUUUGUGAAUGAGAGUUGGCAUGUCAAAUACAUCCUCUAGAAAAAUAAUUAGUGUUAUAGUCUUAAGAUCUGUUUUCUAAAGUUGAUACUGUGGGUUAUUUUUGUGAACAGCCUGAUGUUUGGGACCUUUUUUCUUCAAAAUAAGUCCUUAUUAAACCAAGAAUUUGGAGAAAAAUAAAAAAA